rnacentral:rRNA from 1 species
UACGUAUGGUGCAAGCGUUAUCCGGAUUUACUGGGUGUAAAGGGAGCGUAGGCGGCGCGUUAAGUCUGAUGUGAAAACCCGAGGCUCAACCACGGGAGUGCAUUGGAAACUGGCGGGCUGGAGUGCCGGAGAGGUAAGCGGAAUUCCUAGUGUAGCGGUGAAAUGCGUAGAUAUUAAGAGGAACACCAGUGGCGAAGGCGGCUUACUGGACGGCAACUGACGCCGAGGCUCGAAAGCGUGGGGAGCAAACAGG